UCCGAGUUGACCCCGGCAGUCUCCUAUGAGUCCCCACCAUAACGUGCUGGCAACAUAGGACGAGGGUUGCGCUCGUUGCGGGACUUAACCCAACAUCUCACGACACGAGCUGACGACAGCCAUGCAGCACCUGUGCUCCCGUCCCGAAGGAGGGGCCUGAUUUCUCAGGCCUUACGGGAGCAUGUCAAGCCCUGGUAAGGUUCUUCGCGUUGCGUCGAAUUAAACCACAUGCUCCGCUGCUUGUGCGGGCCCCCGUCAAUUCCUUUGAGUUUCAGCCUUGCGGCCGUACUCCCCAGGCGGGGCACUUAUCGCGUUAGCUGCGGCACCGAAGGGGUCGCUCCCCCCGGCACCUAGUGCCCAUCGUUUACGGCGUGGACUAC
rnacentral:misc_RNA from 1 species